rnacentral:rRNA from 1 species
ACGCUGGCGGCAGGCCUAACACAUGCAAGUCGAGCGGAUGAGUGGAGCUUGCUCCAUGAUUCAGCGGCGGACGGGUGAGUAAUGCCUAGGAAUCUGCCUGGUAGUGGGGGACAACGUUUCGAAAGGAACGCUAAUACCGCAUACGUCCUACGGGAGAAAGUGGGGGAUCUUCGGACCUCACGCUAUCAGAUGAGCCUAGGUCGGAUUAGCUAGUUGGUGAGGUAAAGGCUCACCAAGGCGACGAUCCGUAACUGGUCUGAGAGGAUGAUCAGUCACACUGGAACUGAGACACGGUCCAGACUCCUACGGGAGGCAGCAGUGGGGAAUAUUGGACAAUGGGCGAAAGCCUGAUCCAGCCAUGCCGCGUGUGUGAAGAAGGUCUUCGGAUUGUAAAGCACUUUAAGUUGGGAGGAAGGGCAGUAAGUUAAUACCUUGCUGUUUUGACGUUACCAACAGAAUAAGCACCGGCUAACUUCGUGCCAGCAGCCGCGGUAAUACGAAGGGUGCA